rnacentral:tRNA from 1 species
GCGCGCGGCGUACCGGUUCACGGUACCGGCGGUCUUCGUGCAGGACCAGGUCGACAUGGGCCCACGGGCGAGCCUGUCGGCCAGCGCGCG